rnacentral:tRNA from 1 species
GCUCGUUUAGUUUAGGUAAAAUAUUGAUUUGCAAAUUCACAGAGGGUGCAAUGAGCACUAUCGAGUU